ACUCACGUACACGUUCACUCACUUCCGGAUGUAUGGUGGAUUCGAGAAUCGAUGGCGAUGCAUGCUACUGUCCUCAGAAAAGGAGAAAACAUAAAAAUAGAACAAUGCAUCUCAUGCUGUGAUAAUUAUCACUGCCCAUUUUGUGAAACAUGGGUCUACAAACCAGUGGACAUGUACAGUGUCAAGAAACAUGUGGAGGAUCACUUGAAAACAGCUGUUCAUGAAGAAGAUUUUAUUAUCAUUAGGUGCAACUUAAAAUGCAGAGAUGAUUCUCAUUUUCAUUGCUGCUACCUCUCUGCCACUAUUUUACGAAAAGCACAAUUUAACAUUCAUCUCACAAAAUGCAAACAAAAGAAGCAAAAGAUUCCAUCUCCACAAAGAACUGCAACACCCAUGGUUCUGAUUGGUAAAACACCUCUGCGUUCAGGUUCUGCUCAGACAGCACCCCUUCUUCAACCU